UACGUAGGGUGCGAGCGUUGUCCGGAAUUACUGGGCGUAAAGAGCUCGUAGGCGGCUUGUCGCGUUGUUCGUGAAAAUUUACCGCUCAACGGUGAACUUGCGGGCGAUACGGGCAGGCUAGAGUACUGCAGGGGAGACUGGAAUUCCUGGUGUAGCGGUGAAAUGCGCAGAUAUCAGGAGGAACACCAGUGGCGAAGGCGGUGCUCUGGGCCGGAACUGACGCUGAGACGCGAAAGCGUGGGGAGCGAACAGG
rnacentral:rRNA from 1 species